UUCUCAUCCAAUGACAGGCCUCGUUCUAUGAUGACAUCAUCCCACAAGUUCCAGUGUUAAAAUUGGGCUCCCGAGUUCUUCGUCCUUUUCUACGGGGAAAUGUGUGUGAAGGAUGACCCUUCCCUUUCAGUCUGGAGACGUAGAGAAGGACAUCAUGUAAACCACGUUUUUGUCUUUAAAUCUAAACCAUUAACAAAUGAAAUGAAAUUAGUAUUAUCUGAAGGAAUGUACAAAUACCUGCGUAAAGACUAGAUAAUUUUACAGUAAAGUUAAACACUGGGAGUUUUUCUCAAGCACUCAGUAGGCUAGAGUAAUAGGUAGUAAUGCAGGAAGAAAGAUAAGGCACGAGAACCUUUUAAUACAGUAGGGCCAUCAUGUCACUCCCGAAGAAUAACGUCUAAAAUCCGAGAAGUGAACCUUUUGUGGAAAGUCAUGUGAAAAUCUACUAUUUUGUGAGCUACUUAAAAAUAGACAAAAGAGCUUAAAAUGGAGGUACCCUGAAUGUGUGGAUAGUGCUGCUCCCAGACCAUGGGUUUUAGAAUUAAGAACACAGUGCCACACACAAGAUACCACCCUGUGGAUUGUUGGCCAGAGAGAUCUCAGAGGAUUCUCAAAUAAUGCAAUUGUCAUUCCUCCUGGUUGGCCCCCCAAAACAGAUGGUAAGUCUCCGUUCCUGAAGAUACCACAUAUCUCAGUUACAGGGUACAGAGAAACCAUCGUAGAACAAAGCUGGGGGCUCCUUCCCUUCUAGUGACCAUUCAUUGUGCCAGGAGGUACACAGACUUCUGCUGGAAAAGCAGAGUAGUCAGUGGUCAUACCAAGCUCUAGAGCCAGUGUGAUAAGUUAGUGACCUGCCAGGCCAGGUUUGCCACUGAGGCAAUGCUGACAUGAGUGUUAUGGAGUAACCAACUGCUCUGCAAUCAGAUUUGAGGCCUCUACACAGGAAGGCAUGCACACAGGAUAUGUGAGCUUCCUCAAAACGGUAAAUGGAUGUGUUGUCCAACUGCUUUCUUUUGUACACCUAGACUAGAGCAGCUUCCCGCCUUGGCCAGAGAAUCUACUUUUUACAGAAGUCAACCAUUCGUGCAGAGACUCAUCUGGCCGGAGUAUGAAGGGUAAGUGAGAACUGUAUGCUCAGCCAUGAAUCAGAGAAGAAACGGCAGAAUGUAGGAACGAGUGAGGAGGAUUGCUGUAAACUGCCUUCUGGUUAUGACAGGUCUGUACUGAUCAUAAGCAAAGAGCAGCCAAGGACACCUGCACAAGACGCCUUCAGCAUCCACCAGGGAUGGGGAGCUGCCAUGACACCCAACCCCCUUUGUGAGAGUUGAUGGUUUCCAAUCGAGAGGGCAGCAUUUUCCUCAGUGUUGCAGCCACUGAUAAAUACAGUUGUGGCUAUUGAUUUAAUAUCCCACAAGACUCUGACUGGCUCUGGUUGGGAAGACACUAUAUGGUAAUAAUGCAAAUACCUCAAAUUCAAUAUUUUAAACAAAAAAAUGUACUGAGUGCACUGAAAGAGUGUCUCCUGGACUGCUGCCUGCAGCCUAAGGCGGUAGGUUUUAGUUUUGUCUAUUUACUUAUUACUCAUACAGAGGCUCAUGUGAAUAGCACUGCUUCAAACUCACUAUGUAGCUGGAAAUGACCUUGAGCUCCUAGUCCUUCUCCCCCAUCUCCUCGGUCCUGAGAUUUCCGGUACAUGCCAACAUGCCUGGGAAAAUGCAUAUCUGAAGACUUCAUGUCUUCAUGAUACUUCACCAAUCUAUUCAAUCGCCUGGUUGACUUUGCUAUAUAGUAAUUUAAAGGGUGUUUUUAUUUUAUGCACAAUGUGUAUAAAGUAAGAUUCUUAAUAAAUGACUCAGUAACACAGCACCACGAUCAAGAACAGAGGAUUCAUUCCUGACUCUUGACCUUUCUUCCAGAGGACUUGGGUUCGAUUCCCAGCAUCCACGUAUCAGCUCAGAACCACAAUCCAGAAAAUGGAAAACUCAAUCCAGAAAGUGAGAGAUUUCUUGCUUGGUUUGAAGUAGGUGAAUCCACUUCUAGUCUGGACCUAUGACGUGGGAAGACACACGCCAUUAACCCAGACCUUGAAGUGAGAAGACACGCCUUUAAUAUGGGCCACACCUUUUGCUGGACAUCUAUAUAAGGAGAGAGAAGAAGAAAGCUUUUGCUCUUUGCCUUUUUGCCCUCACCUUGCUAGCACGUCCAUCCCUUCACUGGCAGGAGAGCCUACGUGUUUGAGAUCCCAGCAUCUACUGAAGAGCAACUGAGGCAUCCCGCUUUGUGAACUGAACACUACUGGAUUCUUGGACUUUGCGUCCACAGCCAGCCAUUGUUGGAUUAGCUGGAUGGCAGCCUGCCUUACACAGAGAGAGGCAGCACCUUCUGCCCCACCCUGCUCAGUUCAGAAGACACUGGUAGCGUCAUUUAAGCACUGAAGCAAAUAACACAGCGUACUGCAAGUCAGAGGAGCUUAAGUGGGACUCCAACUAAUCUUUUUUAAGGUGUGUCUGUGCACCUGCCGGAGCUGCACUCAGAGGCCAGAAGAGGGUGUCCAAUCUCUUCUUAGAGCUGGAGCCGCAGACAGCUGUGAGCUGUUCUGUGGGUGCGGGGAAUAGAACUCUGGGCCUCCGGAAGAGCAGUCCUUACUCUUAUCCACUGAGCCAUCUCUCCAGCCCCAGAUUCUACUUAAUCUUAAGGACAAGUGUCAUCUGAGUCCCCUUACAAGAAGUGUGCAAACUAAUGGAUCUCAUAGAAAAGAGAGUAAAACGGAAAUAAGGGGGGAGUAUAGAGUUUCAGUUAUACAGGAUAGCAAUUUCUAGAAGUCUACUAUGAAACACUGUGCUUAUUAACAGUUUUAAAUUCUGCUCUUAAAACUUACUAAGAUGGCAGAUUUCAUGCCAAGUGUUUACACCAUGAAAAAUAGUUCGAGCAGAAUAGUUUCAGAUAGAAAAUGGUUAGAUGAAGUUAUUAGCUGUACAGAAGACUUGUUCUUAAUCUUACUGGUGUAAAGGGAUAGACCUUUGGGGCAGUAAAGAAUCCCACGUACUUGGACCCCCCAAAGGUCUUGUUCUAUGAGGCCCUAACUUGUGUGGCUGCUUAAUUUCUUCAAAACUAAAAUUACAUGUUUCGAUUUACAUUAUUUUUGGUGAGGGCUAUCUUUCAUAAUAACCAUUUUACCUAAAAAAUUAAAACCUCCAUUGUUUUUCUUUUUAACGGUUUCCCUUUGAUAUGGGACAAUGGCAUCCAUAGAGUCUUCCUGUUCCUCUUUCUAAUAUUUGAAGGUAUCACAGGACAGUGAACAAAAAGAAACUGGACACAGUUCAGAUCGUAAAAGGCUUAACAGAGACAUUAGUGUUAUGUGGCCGCUCAAAUAUUUUCUAAUCCCAAAUGAGAACUUCCUUAUUUAUACUAAAAGAAAAUGCCUGGUCUUUGAAAGAUCUGAGAAACACUUGGAUUUUGUUUGGGGUUGUUGUGGUUUGGUGUUUUGUUUUGUUUUGUUUUUCGUCGCCCCACCCCUCCCCUCCAAAGCUUCUGAGUCCUGGAAGAAGGCGGAAGCGUGGAAUCAACGUCUUUGUGCAUGGGCUGAACUGAAUCAAGCAAACAUUGUUGUAAUCAUUUGCGCAGUGACAGAUCAAUUAGGCAGAGUCCAAGGCACAGCACAAUGUUUAUGGCCCUCCUCCUUCCUGGAACAGUGCAAACCACCGCCUGGCAGACAGCCUGAGACCGGUUGCUUUCCUAAGUAAACUGACCUUUUCUUUGGCUUGGAGUAUCAGUUAAGCUAGCCAUAGAUGAGGCUGUACAACGUGCAGGGAACCAUAGCGACAGAGCACACGGUACCGCGGCCACAUUCUGCAACAGCACCAGGACCAUCGCCAAGGCUCUGUGUCACUGCCACCUGGCCUUGAAUUUCUCAGGAUGACCUCCCCCAUUGCUGGCACAGGAGGCGCUCAGUCAAUACGCCCGAAUCCAGAUAAAGCACACCAAGCCAACCGGGU
rnacentral:sRNA from 1 species